rnacentral:rRNA from 1 species
GACGAACGCUGGCGGCGUGCCUAACACAUGCAAGUCGAACGGAGUAAGCGGCCUCGGGGACUUACGUAGGGGCGAACGGGGGAGUAACGCGUGAGGGACCUACAUCCCAGAGGGGGACAACAGCUGGAAACGACUGCUAACACCGCAGAAUGUAGCAAGACCGCUUGGUCACGCUACCAAAGCUUUAUGUGCUGAGAGAUGGCCUCGCGUCUGAUGAGCUAGUUGGUGGGGUAACGGCCUACCAAGACGACGAUCAGUAGCCGGACUGAGAGGUUGAACGGCCGCAUUGGGACUGCGAAACGGCCCAGACUCCUACGAGAGGCAGCAGUAGUGGAUAUUGGGCAAUGGGGGAAACCCUGCCCCAGCAACGCCGCGUGAAGGAAGAUGGCCUUCGGGUUGUAAACUUCUUUUACCAGGGACGAAAAACGUGACGGUACCUGGAGAAAAAGCAACGGCUAACUACGUGCCAGCCGCCGCGGUAACAC